GGGCAUCCUUUUGGUCAAAACUUUUCCAUAUAUAAAUGAAUUGCAAGUGGAAUUAUCAGCUACCCUCAUACAAAUACAAUAUAACCAAAGCCCUUCAAGAACACCACAAAACAGAAGAACUACAAAUGGAGUUCUCUGAUCUUCUUCUCAGAAUCUUGCCUUCUCUUGCUCUUCUUGGACUCCUUUCCUUCAUCUUUCAUCUCUACAGGACUGUCUUGCUUAGUUCAUACACAGUCAAGAAGAAGCUCCACAUGCAAGGUAUUAAUGGCCCUUCUCCUUCUUUUCUUUAUGGGAAUCUCUCUGAGAUGCAGCAAAUUCAAUUGAAGGUCAAGAAAGAGGCUUUUCCUACUCAUGGUGAUGAGAUUGUAGCACAAGACUACACUUCCAUUGUUUUCCCCUACUUUGAUCACUGGAGAAAACAAUACGGUCCAAUAUACAUGUAUUCGACAGGGUUUAAGCAACAUUUGUACAUUACCGACCCUGAGUUUGUGAAGGAAAUGAACCAGUGUAAUACUCUGGACUUAGGCAAGCCUCCAUAUGUGACUAAAAGAUUCGCACCAAUGUUCGGCAAUGGCAUAGUGAGGUCCAAUGGACAUUUCUGGGCUCUACAAAGGAAAAUUGUAGCACCAGAGUUUUUCAUGGUCAAGGUCAAGAGCAUGGUAGGGCUAAUGGUGGAAUCAACAAUCCCUUUGCUAAGAGAGUGGGAGCAGCGCAUUGAAGCCCAAGGUGGUCUCCAUGCAGAAAUUACAGUUGAUGAUGAUUUGAAGGGCCUUUCAGCUAAUGUUAUUGCAAGAGCUUGUUUUGGGAGUUCUUAUUUCAAAGGCAAUCAGAUUUUCUCCAAGCUUAGAACUCUCCAUAAGGCGCUUACCCAGCAGGGUACCCUUUUUGGGUUCACAAGUUUUCGCAAUAAUUAUAAAGAGAUCAACAGCUUGGAAAGAGAGAUAGACUCAUUAAUCUGGGAAACAGUUCAAGAACGCCAAAAGCAGAGCUCAAUUGAGAAGGACCUAAUGCAACUAAUACUUGAAGAGGCUGUCAACAAUCCUAAUUCAGGGAAGCUUUCACCAAAGAAAUUUAUAGUUGAUAAUUGCAAGGGCUUAUAUUUUGCAGGGCAUGACACAACUGCUAUUUCUGCUUCUUGGGUUUUAAUGCUCCUUGCUUUACACCCAGAGUGGCAAUCUAGAAUCCGAGCAGAGGUGGCCCAAUUUUGCAAUGAUGGAUCUAUCGAUGCAAAUUCAAUAUCCAACUUGAAGAUGGUAUUGAUUAAUUUAAUUGUAUUUUUACAAUUUUUCUUUCUAGCUAGAAAUGAUUCCCCAGCUAAUUGAUUUAUAUUCUAUUUGCCUCUAUAGAUCACCAUGGUGAUCCAGGAGGCCUUGAGGCUAUUCCCACCAGCAGGGUUUGUGGUGAGGGAGACACUUGAAGAAGUCCAAAUUGGAUACAUUACAAUUCCAAAGGGUGUGUGCACAUGGACUUUGAUUUCAACCUUACACAGGGAUCCUACCAUUUGGGGACCAGAUGCUGACAAGUUCAAACCUGAAAGGUUCUCUGAUGGGGUCUCUAAAGCUUGCAAAUUUCCCCAAGCUUACAUCCCAUUUGGACUUGGAACUCGCUUGUGUGUUGGUCGAAACUUUGCCAUGGUGGAACUGAAAAUUGUUAUCUCCUUCAUUGUCUCCAAGUUUAAAUUCUCCUUGUCUCCUAAUUAUGUGCAUUCUCCAGUUUUCAGAAUGCUUGUAGAACCUGAAAAUGGUUUACAACUCAUAAUCCAAAAGGUUUAGAAUAAGAUUAGAGGUACUACUAAAAUUUAUAUGCUAGUUUGGCUCUUGCUUUAGCUAUGUGUUUCAACUGAACAGUUUGUUAGUGGAAUAGCAACAAUAUUUCUUCAACAUCAAUCAUUUAAAAUUUAGUUUGUUUGGCAGUUCUCUU
rnacentral:misc_RNA from 1 species